rnacentral:ribozyme from 1 species
GAGAUCCUGGGAAUACAGAAUUAGCUCCGUGGGUGAAAGGUCGUUGGUAGUAAGCCUCUUCAGAAAGGAGAUAGGUGGACAGGAAAGGGUGGCAGAGUUGCCUUUAUUUUAUUAUU